rfam:Ipomoea nil DNA, scaffold: scaffold2280, cultivar: Tokyo-kokei standard.
GCACGUCUAGCUCAGUUAGUAGUGCGCAAGGCUACCACACCUUGUGGUCGUGGGUUCGAGCCCCAUGGUGGGCA